rnacentral:lncRNA from 1 species
AUAUACGUCAAUGAGGUACCUGCAAUUAACCCAAAAAACCACCAAUUGAAGAAUGAGCUUCUGGCUUUGCACUCCUCUGGAUCUGACACAUCAAACUGAUCAGCUCCAAAUGCCUGAACGCAAGGCUUGUGUCCUCCUUGUGCAACAGCUACUAGAUAUAGGGGGAAGAAGAAGAAUAUUACUUGGAUCUCAGAAGAAGAAAGCACGGCUGACAGGGUCAACAAGCCAAGUCCCUGUUUCAAUUUAGGUCCAAAAUUUAUAGCAUUCUGACAUAGCAAGAUGUAGAAAGAAAAUAAUCAAACUUACACCCCUAAUUAUAUCUGAAGAAUAACCAUUCAUUUCUUAGUAACUCCGUCUAUCAUAAGGAAAAGUAAAAUAUCAAUUAAUCUGAUGGAAUUUUCUUAAUUUUAUUUUUCUAAGUUCUAUAUGCUCUAUUUAGAAAUGACACCCCUGUAAGCCAGCCAGGACAAAAAAAGUGAGAACCGGCUGAAACUCAAAACGUAUCACUUAACCCCCUGAAAGUUGUCUUUCAUUUGAAUUGAUGCAUAUGAACUUUUUUUUGGUUCAUUUAGUUUUGUAAUAUGUUGGAUUUUGAUUAUGUCAAAAUUUCAUCAUCAUUUUAAAAAUAACACACACACAUUUUAGUUUAUAUUUUGACUUCUACGGUAGCAUAAAAGUGACACAUAAGUUAGCAACGGACGCUUUAAAAAUAGGCUUAUUUACACCAACGCCCCCUGAAACUCAACUUUAGUCUUACUUGGCCCCUUGUAACUCAAAAUGUAUCACUUAACCCUCUGACAGUUGUCUUUGCUUCUCACUUUGCCCCAUUCUGUUAUCUUCAUAAAAAUUUUUGUUAGAGUAAAUUGUAGUUAUAGUCCCUUAACUUUAACUCAAUUGGAGCAAUGGUCCCUCAACUAAAAAUCUAUUACCAUUGGUCCCUCAACUCAUCAAAACGUGCAACUAUGGUCCCUCAACUAAAAAUUCAUUAUCAUUGGUCCCUCAACUUUAAUUCAACUGGAGAAAUGGUCCCUUAACUUUAACCCAAUUGUAGCAAUGGUCCUUUCAACAUAACUCGUUUUGACAAAAUUUUUGACGUAGUUGACAAAAAGGACCAUAAUUACACACUUUGAUGAGUUGAGGGAACCUAAUUAUAUAAUUGGUUAUUCCAACAUAACUUAUUUUGACCAAAUUUUGACCAAAUUGAUGAAAAGGACUAUAGCUACACAUUUUGAUAAGUUGAGGGACCAAUAGUAAUGGAUUUUUAGUUGAGGGACCAUUGCUCCAAUUUGAUUAAAGUUGAGGGACUAUUGCUACAAUUUACUCAAUUAUGUUAAAUCACGUGAUGUGGCAAAUUUGGGGCCCAUUAAUUAGCUGACGUGUUGGCUAUGUCAUCGCCACAUUUACAACUUUCAUUAAAAGUAUUUAAUAUUUUACAUUUGAAAGAAAAAAUAGAAACAAGUCAAACAAUAAGAACAAUUACCUACCAAGGUGAGUGAGCAAAGAUCUUUUUUAGGGCUCGUGAACUAUUACCCUCUUUGGAGGGACUUACGCCAGCUUCAGUCAGGAGAGUUACCCUACACUCGAUGAGUUCGGAGGAAAGACUGGUGAAUUAGGCAACCCCUCUACCUUGAAUUCAUAAGUUGGGGUAUUUGAUGUGGUUGGGUUAUAGCGGUGAUGUUGCUAGCGAUGGUUAUGCAGAGCAAGGUAGGUGGUGAUGGUGAUGGAGUUACAAAAUUGAUAUGAAAUAAGCAAAUUUGAUGGUAGGAGUGGAGUUUGUGGGGGUUUUGGUAGUGAUGGCAUGAUGGGGAGCAGGUGGUGAGAGUUUUCUCUCAGUUUUUAGUUUUUUUUUUCCUUUCUAAAUUGAUUUUUAGUGUUAAAAAUAUUAUAUUUUUAUAUGUGGCAAUGACAUCGCUAACACAUUCAAUUAAUGGGCCCUACAUUUUACUACAUUUUACACGUCACGUGAUGUAACAUAAGUUUUGACGGAGAUAAUAGAUGAUAACUGAGAAACUAAGGCAAUCUCCAACCGAUGGCUGGCUAGAGGGCUCGUUUUAGACAUCUGGCCCUCCAAGGCUCUCCAAGAUAUUAAUAUUUUAAUGAACAGUACAUGGUCAUAUUUGCCUCUAUCUCCAACCGAGGGCCAGAUGGCUCGUUUUAGCCCUUUCACAAAAAACCGUCUCCAACCGAGGGCUAAAGGGCCAUAGGGCCAAACAUAAUUUAUUAUUUAAAAACUACAACUUAAAUUCAAAUCCAACGGCUAAGUGAUGUCAGCUAGCCGUUGGUAGCUGACAUCAUGCUUACGUCAGCUAGCCAUUGGAUUUGAAUUUUUUUUUGCUAUAAAUAGGGUGGAUAUUGGGAUAUAAUUCACAUAACUUUGAAUUCAAUCUAUUUAAAUUCAAUCUCUUUGAAUUCAAUCUCUUUCAAUUCAAGUUUGCAAUGAAUUCCAACUGUUGUGUUAGAGGCGGUUGCCUCAUAUGACACAUGGAUAUGACAUGCUUUCUUUGGAGUCUCUGGAUCCCAAAAUGACAUUACAGUUCUUGGGCGUUCACCCCUCUUCAAUAACUUGACAGAAGGUAAAGCACCUCAACUUGAUUACUACAUCAACGGCCGUCAAUACAAUAUGAGGUAUUACUUGGCAGAUGGCAUCUACCCAAAGUGGGCGACACUUGUCCAAGCAAUUCCAAACCCUAGGAAUGACGCGGAAAAGUUGUUUAACUUACACCAAGAGGCAUAUCAGAAAGAUGUUGAGAGAGCUUUUGGUAUUCUACAAGCACGGUGGAAGAUCAUCAGCGAACCGACAAGAGGGUGGAGUCGAGAAAAUUUGGACUCCAUCAUGAUGUCUUGCAUCAUAUUACACAAUAUGAUAGUGGAGGAUGAGCGAGAUGGGUAUAUUGAUGAAGAGUCCGAUGACGACCAAGAAGAUCCAAAUAGGUCAAGAAGGGCUCGUUCAAAAAUAUAUGACGAGCCUAAUUUGCCUUUCAAUCCAAGAACUGGUAGUAUCUCUAUAGAUGAGUACAUGAGACGCUAUAGAAUGAUACGUUCUCGUGCCACAAACAAGUACCUAUAACAAGAUCUUGUUGCACAUCUUUGGGCCCAAAGAAGCAUGGAGUCGGCAUUUACGUUUUAUGUUUUUAAAUGUUUUUUAAAAUGUUGUUUAAGUUUCAUGUUGUAUAAUUUUUAUGUUGGUUAAUGUUAUUUAAUGUUGUUUCAUAUUGUUUAAUGUUGUUUCAUGUUACUUAAUUUAAGUUAAUGUUGUAUAAUGGCUUAGGAAGUAAUAGGAAAAAAAAUAGAAUUUAAAAAAAAAAUAUGAAACAAAUUUUGUGAAAUAAAAGUUAUAGGAAAAAAAAUGGAAUUUAAAAAAAAAUAUGAAACAAAUUUUGUGAAAUAGAAGUUAUAAGAAGUAAAAUGGAAUUUAAAAAAAAAUGAAAUAAAUUUUGUGAAAUAGAAGUUAUAGGAAAAAAAUGGAAUUUAAAAAAAAUAUGAAAUAAAUUUUGUGAAAUAGAAGUUAUAGGAAAAAAAUGGAAUAUGAAACAAAUUUUGUGAAAUAGAAGUUAUAGGAAAAAAAUGGAAUUUAAAAAAAAUAUGAAAUAAAUUUUGUGAAAUAGAAGUUAUAGGAAAAAAAAUUGGAAUUUAAAAAAAAUAUGAAAUAAAUUUUGUGAAAUAGAAGUUAUAGGAAAAAAAAUGGAAUUUAAAAAAAAAUGAAAUAAAUUUUGUGAAAUAGAAGUUAUAGGAAAAAAAUGGAAUAUGAAACAAAUUUUGUGAAAUAGAAGUUAUAGGAAAAAAAUGGAAUUUAAAAAAAAUAUGAAACAAAUUUUGUGAAAUAGAAGUUAUAGGAAAAAAAUGAAAUUUAAAAAAAUAUGAACCAAAUUUUGUAAAAUAUAAGUUAUAGAAAAAAAGUUAUAGGAAGUUAUAGAAACAAAAAGGUUUAAAUUCAUAAAAAAAAAAAAGGUUUGAAAUACAACGGCUAGUGAUUGGCUAGCCGUUGGAAUUCAAAUUAGAAUUCAAAUUAGUGUCAGUUUUAACCGACACUGUUCAAAAUGAUAUUACACUAACAUUGCUAUUAGUGUCGGUUAUAACCGACACUAAUAAUAUAGUAUAUAUUAUUUCUGUCGGCUAUAACCGACAGAAAUAACAAAGCCAGCCCUCUAGCCCUCUGGCCUAGCCCUCGGUUGGAGACGGUUUUCAGGCUAUUUUCGGCCCUCUGGCCCUCAGGACCCUUCGGUUGGAGAUGGCCUAAUGGUACAAGCCACCCUUAUAUUGAUAGAUGGCACAUAAAUGCAUGUAUGCUACACAAAUGUGAUACAUGGAUCAUAGAUAAAUGCCCCCUUCUUAUCCUACAUCAUACACUUACUUCCUACAUGGAGCAAGAAAACUAAAACUUGCGGCCUUGUAAGGAUUUACUGCACCUACUAUUUGGUAAAAUCUCGACUUAACCGAUAUCCAAACAUCCAUCUUCUAUCUCACCAAGAACACAAACAGAGGCCCAGACAUUCACCGGCCACUUCCCUCCCCGAAGCCAAGGCUACAUCGCCUCCACGUCUCCUCCUAUUUGAGCUUCAUUUCCCUAAUAAAUGUCUAAAAUGGGUACAAGUUGUAUGAAAGAUGGAUUAGAUGCGUGUGGGAUGUGUACUACGAAGAAUACAACAACGGCAGACAAUGUGAUUCCAACUCCAGUUCUGGAUGGCUAUCUCAUACCAUCAUUCAAUUCGCUUGGAAGUUGAUUUUGUACAUCUCUAUUUGUUGAAAUUAAUUAAUGAUUUGUUUGGUGCUAAUGAAUUCACCCUUUAAUCAGAAGAGUUUUUGUAACUUACUAAAUUACAAACCCUAAUUACUGAAUGAUCACUUUACGGAAUUUUAAGAAUAAUGUAUGUCGAUAUUUGAUUUCGAUCAGUUUAGCAAUUGUCAUUUGCAAAACCUAGCAUUCAUCCAAUUUCCCAAAAUAUUUCCAAAUAAUGCGGAUUAAGGCAACUUAUGUUGGAAAACAAUUCAGAAAUAAAUAUCGACACAAUUAGUGGCCAAAGCCUCAAUCCUCAUUCCAAAUGGUCCAACACGUAACCACUAAUAUGAUAAGAUCAACACUCUGACCCUAUCUCAGACUUGCAAGUCGCACUGUAGUAACAAUGGUGUGGAGACGAAGGAAUGAGAAGCAGAGAGAGAGAGAGUAUAUAUUUUUUGGAGAGUAUUUUCUUAAUUCAUUAAAUGCCUUUCCCACGGAUAAUUGCGUUGGGUCUUAUACAACUUUUGCAACCACUAAGUUGCCAGAUGACAAUUACAAUCACUUAAUAGACUAAUUAAGCUAUUAAAUCUUAAAACUAAACAGCCAUUAAGCUAAUCACUAAGUUUAUAAGCUAAGUGACUAAUUCAUAACAUAAUAAAGGAGACUAACGUAAUACAAGAACCUCAAGUUUCCUUGAGUUCCCCGAUGUGGGACUUAAAGGAGCUAAAAACUCCAACAACAUAGUCACGUGCCAAAAUUGUAGAGAGAGGGAGACGUACCAAAAUGUAGAGUAGGGAAGCAAAAACAAUAGUGCGGUAGCGCCCAAGGAAAGAAUCAGCGACAAAGGCUCCGAGUAAAGGGAGCAACGACGCCGUUCCGGACCAUAUGUUGACGUUCUCAGCCGCUGUGACGGUGGACUGCCCCAAAGGCCCCGUCAGAAACGUGAUGAGGUUGGAGCUGAUUCCAUAGUAGGCAAACCUCUCCGCCAGCUCCACCCCUGAAAAUAUUCAAAUCAAAACUUCACCACACUUGUUUAAUUACAAUUUUUUAAUUAUUAUUAAUCAGAGCAAUUAAUUUAACUAAUAUCUGAUUGAUUGGUUCAGUGCGGUGAGUUGCGGGCUUACCGAUUAUGAACCGAGCAGAACGCCAGCCGCCUGAUCUCGAUCUGUGAACGGGGAGGCCUUUGUGGUCAACGGUGCCCUCGACGCCGUCGUCUAGCAGGGGGGUUUGGGUGUCCCGGUCCGGGGAUUGGCGGGUAGAAGUUGCCAUUGAGUUUCACUGGAAAUGUCGACUUGAAUGAGCAACUAAUACGAUGUUAAUCCCUAUUAAUUAAUGAAACUUUUUUUGUCAAUAAAAAAAAUAAUAAGAUUACUUAGUUUUUUAUAAAAAAAAAUGAUGAACAAUAAUGUAAUUUUAUAAGUUUAAAUUUUACUAUUUUUUAUUAAAAUCUUAGAUGAUGUUAAAAUACCUUUAAUAUUAAAAAAAAAACAAAAAUCUCUCACUCCCUCCUCCACGUUCUCUUUCUCUCCCUUUUUCCUUCUUAUUUUCUAAUAAAAUGUAUUCAUACACACAAAAUAUAUAGACAAAUACUAGUAAGCAAUAAUGUGAUGGGAUGUUUGUCGUUUCUAUCCAUCUGACGUCAUCGUUUUUGUUUGGAUGAUUAUAAAAAAACAAACGGACAAAAGAAAUUUAAAAUAUUAAGAAUAAUACUCGUUCUUCUUUAGCACGAGCUUAUUCUUUGAUUUGUUAUUUGUAAAUAACGCUUGAGGUAUUUGUUGAUUUGUCUCACGAUUUUGUCUGUCUUUGCUAUUUUUUAUUAAUUUUAAUUUUAGCCAUUACCUUAUUAAACUUCUAUAAUUAGUCAAUUUCUCUUUAAAUUUUAAUUUUAUAUAGCCAAUUUUUUCCUGGUGUGAGAUUUUAAAAACUUUCAUUCAAUUUUUUAUCCCUUCAAAUUUUCAUCCUUUUUGCCCUCAUACAUUUGUCAUAUGUUGUUUCCGUGAUCAAGAUAGAUGAAAAAUUGAAUGAAUUUUUUUAAAAUCUAAUGCGAGGGGGAAAUUGGAUAUUUGGAUAAUCGGCUAAAAUUAAAGCUAAAAGGAGAAAUUGGUUAAUUAUAAAAGUUCAAGAAGGUAAUCGGCUAAAAUUAAAGUUUAGAGAGGAAAUUGACAGCUUCAUACAAGUUCAGGAGGCAAAUAGACAAAUAUGCCUAAUGUAUUCGAUUUAGGCUUGUUUGAAAAUGUUUUUAAAAUGAUAAAAAAUGUUUUUGGUUGUUGUAGGGUGUAUUUAACUAGCGAAUUAUAAGGGGAUGAAGAGGUGCGGCGAACAUAGUAUUAGGAAAGCUAAAUUCUUUAGCCUUUAGGUAUUACAAUACAAUAAAAAAAAACUAUCUAAAAGAUAUGGUAGAAUCCCAAUAGGAUUUACUAGGAUUUACACAAUCACAUUCCUAACUAAAUUAGGGCUGUAACACUCCCUUUUGAGUGUUUAAAUACUCAAGUAAAUGAUGCAUAAAGUCUUUAGUGAUGAAGUAAGUUCAGUUGAUGAAGUCGUUGAUACGAUGAGCAAAUGCGAUUCCCAAAUCAACGGAGGAUUGCAUAAAAAGAUAAAACUCACAAAAUCUUGCUAUGGUAAAAACUAAGUAUGAGAGAAAAAAAAAAACAUUGUCUAAGGAGAAACAUGAGAAGUUUUGCAUUAAGUCAAAACUAUACAUCUUUUGGACACAAAUUAGAAAACUCACAAGGGUAUGAUCAACCCAAAAUGGAUGCCUCCUAGUUAAGUAGCAAAAACCCAGCAAGAAAAAUGUUCCUAAUUAUAGAUAAAAAAGUAACUAAGAUCAAGUGAGUAGAUACUCCCCCUAAGUUCGAUAAAACUUCCAAAUGAGAACUACAAGCAUUGCAUAUGAGUUAGUUACACAUACCAAUUCCCGAACAAAGCUUUUGGAAGUUAGACUUCGACAAUGAUGUCGUGAAGAGAUCGGCAAGGUUGUCUGGGAUCAGAUUGCUUGACUUCAUUCUCUUGAUCCUGAUGCUGCUGAUGUGAUGUAGACGCAAUAUUGCUUGGCGUUGACUUCGAUAAUGUAUCAUUUCUUGGUAUGGUUGAUACAUAUGGCGUAAUCUUCAUAGGUCGUCGUUGAGACUCAAUGAUGGAUGAAAACAUAGGUACUCUGAAUACGCUUAACAAGAGCUCUCAUCCAUGACUCGCCUGUGGCGUAGUGAGGGUGAGUCUUUGACGAUUUAAAGCUCUAUUUUUUUGUGAUAAAUACAACCAUUUAAAGCUCAAUUUUAGGAAGAAAAUAAGUAUAAAACUUGACAUAAGAUUUCAGAUUGCCACAUCAUCCAUCAAUUUUAAUUUGACUAUUAAAAUUUAACAAUUCAUUUGGAGAUGGUCUAAUACCUCAAAUAGUUGAUGGAUUUGGGCUAAUGACGCUUUCCUUUGUACUCUUGAUUGGGCUUCAACCAUUAAGUCCAUGUUCUCUGAGAAAGAUAUUGUGGGUUUAACUGUCCAAGCCUUCGCACCCAUUAGAGGUUGGUGGGCUUAACUUUCUUGUGCCGAGUGACUGGUCAUUCGACACAGGAGAGUGGAGGGUUUGCUUGGAUUAGUAGGUCAAAAUUAGUGAUUCACUCAAUGCGAGUGGGUUGACUUAGCACUAUAUAUAAAAGGAUAUUGCACACUCAUUUGUAUCUCCACACCCCUUUAUUAAUUUUUGGUCAUUUAUCUUUUUCAAUUCAUUCGAUCCGACAAGAGGGCCACUACCCUAUGUAAAACUCCAUCCAAGAAUUGCAUGUAUACAGUCAAGGUCAAUGUCCCUCGUAUAAGAGAAAUUGACUGUUGUAAUGGUUCUACAAAUCCAAGUACUGAACUAACCAAAUUAAAAAAUUGAUGGGGUCUAUAUGGUAACCGGUAUAUCUAUAAGGGUAAUAUGAGACGUUUACAAGGACAUCUGAUCAGUAUGACAAUCAUUACUUAGUUUUUCAUCAUUUUAGCCAGUUUCCACUGAAAUCGAUUAUCCUUGCCAUCGAGCAUAAAAAGUACGAUUAGUAUUAACAUAUCUUUAAUGCGUGACACUUGGAACUAUUUAGGAACUAGUAUAUACAAAUACAAGCAUUCAAAAUUCGAAAUCUUGGGAUUUUUAAAAGAAGUAAUGCGUAUGCAAUUUAUCACUAGAUUCCAUCUAGAUAACUCUGGAAUAAAUUAUACACGGUAGAUUUCCAAUCAUACAGAUUCACAUUUCUGAUUUACAACCAACGGCGGUGAUGCGUAGAUCACUGUGCUCAAAUAAUAAGUUACAAGGCGUGGGAUUUAUAAAUGUACGAUUUUGCAAAGUAUAGGUAGAUAACCAAUUGUACCAAACUGAUUCCACCAAGCAGCCAAUAGAAGUAAUCAAGAUGUGCACGGUUAAGAUUACUCGAAAACCAGCUGCUUUCGCCUGCUAAACUGGUUAUGUCAUCGAUGAUGGAAAUAAGAAAGCUACUUAGGAAGCUUCCCACGCCGAAGAUGCUGAGAUAGAGGGCGAGUCCUACACUCCUUAGUUCAUUUGGCACCUGAUCAUAAAAAAACUCUUGCAGACCGACCAUUGUGAAACCAUCAGCUAUUCCGGCCAAUAAGUACUGAGGAGCCAACCACCAGAUGCUCAUUGGAACCGUGGCACUCGGCGUAUCAAGCAGGCCAUAAUCUUUGGCAGUUUUGAGCCUCUUCAUCUCAACUAGAGCUGCAAUUACCAUCAAAAUAAUAGAUAAGACCAUCCCCGUUCCAAUUCUUUGCAGCAUUGUAAUUCCAGCGGGUUUCCCCGUGACAUAUCUAGCAAUUGGAACAAAAAUGCGAUCAUAAAUGGGAAGGAAGAUGACAAUGGCAAUGCUGAUGAAAGUCUGAAGUGAAGCGGCUGGUACAUUGAAGCCAGGCACAAUGGUUCUAUCCAUGGUGGCACCUUGCUUGGUGAAGAAAGUGGAGUACUGUGCAAACACAACCGCAUAUGCCAAGCAUGUAACCCAUAUUGGAAAAAGCCUAAGAACAGCCUUUGCGUCUUCAACGUCAACGAUGGUACACACCUUUCUGUUUUCCUUCAAAUCAUCCGGUGCAAGCAAGGCUUUGUUGAGAAACCUGCCAGUAAAUCAUAUCAUAACAGUUUCUUAGCUGAAAUCAGAACAGACUUAACAGUUCCAUUCUACAGCUAAGUAAAUAUCAUAUAACCAAUGAUGCAAUCAAAGGCAUUAGUUUAUCCUUACAUACUAUACAGCAUAUAGGUAUGAUAAUAUAAUCACCGAAACCAUUAACAUUUUAUUAGAUUCUAAAAUGCUCUUACUACAAUAGAAAAAAGGGAGUUUUAACGAAAAGCUCACGGUACUGUUCACUUAAACGAAAAACCACAUUUUUACACUAAAAAGUCAAACCUGUUACUAUUCACUUUACCCUUUAUUUUGUCCUUAUUGUUAAAACUCAAAGUUUUUAAGCCCUUUUCAUUAGUUUUCCUUAGAAAAAAAGGUGCUGCAAAUGCCACUUUUUAUACUCAAUUUAUUCAAACUAGUUAAGGUUAACUGAAAUUAAAAUUGAUAGACUUAAGUGGCCAUGCAAGAGAUUAUAACAAUAUAUGAAUACUUGUCUUUCACGAAUUUCUUUCGCAGGAUAGGUUACUGAAAGAGUCAUGAAGACAGUUUCUCCCUCCUUUUUAAUCUAAAAUAAUAUCAAACUUUCUCGUUGCCAGUUUCUCCCUCCUUUUUAAACUAAAAAUAUGCCGACAGUUAACUCUCUUACUUGAAUUGUUCAGAACUCUCGUGAGGCAAGAUUCCGCGAGAUUCCUCUUCAGAAGUUACUGCUGAGGGAGAAGUUCGCCAGUUCCUUAAAGCAGCAACAAACACCCUUCCAAUUCUUACAAAAGGACUUUCUUCAUCCCCUUUAAUGCUGUACCGAUAAGUUCUAGUUCCAAGCAGGAAAAUUAACAGUGCAAAGACCAUUGCAAUACAAGGAAUUCCAAAACCCAGACCCCAACUCAGGUUGUCCUGUAUGUAGGUCAAUAGGAUAAGCGUCACGGACGUACCUGCACACAACCCAAAAUACCACCAAUUGAAGAAUGAGCUUUUGGCUUUGCACUCCUCUGGAUCUGAGACAUCGAACUGAUCAGCUCCAAAUGCCUGAACACAAGGCUUGUGUCCGCCUUGUGCAACAGCUACUAGAUACAGGGAGAAGAAGAAGAAUAUUACUUGGAUCUCAGAAGAAGAAAGCACGGCUGACAGGGUCAACAAGCCAAGUCCCUGUUCAAUUUAGGUCCAAAAUUAUAGCAUUCAGACAUAGCAAGAUGUAAAAAGAAAAUACUCAAAACUUGCAUCCCUAAUUAUACCUGAAGAAUAACCAAUCAUUUCUUAGUAACUCCAUCCAUCACAAGGAAAAGUAAAAUAUCAAUCAUUCUUAUUUUAUUUUUCAAAGUUCUGUAUGGUGUACUUUGAAAUAACACCCCUGUAAGCCAGGCCAAAAAAACGUGAGAACCGGCUAUGGCUGAGCUCAUGAGAAACAAUUGGUAAAUAAUCAAAUAAUAUAUGUUCAUUCAUAAACACUCCUUGAGGUGUGCUUUUCGACAAGGCAUGGGAAAUUUUCCCUAAGGUGCAUUACGCUGGACAUUUUCUUUCCACACAAAGCGCAGUCUUCACGCUAUAUGAUUUUUCAAACAAUCCCAGUCCCAAAACAUCAUCAUUUUGAGCUGGUUUUUAAAAUCUACAUCAUGCCCUCUUCUACCUAGGGACAUCAGCUCUCGCCUUGCCUAAUCACCUGUUGGCAUACAUUGAUGGUUGAACAACUGUUUCCCUCUUUUUUGGCUAAAACCUUUAAACCUUGAUGAGAGAUAAAUGGGAAUUUGCUUUUAUUUGCUUUCAUUUGAAUUGAUACAAAUGAACUUUUUUUUGCCUCAUUUAGUUUUUUAAUAUGUUGGAUUUUGAUUAUGCCAAAAUUUCAUCAUCAUUUGUAUCCAUAUAUUUAACUAAAAUUUGAAGUUAUGCCAUUGAGUCCCAAACAUUGAAUGACGUUGGCCUUCUAGUGAAAUUUUAAGAAUAACACAUACGACAUAUGUUAGCAAAAGACACUUUUAAAAUAGGCUUAUUUACACCAACGUCCCCAUGAAACUCAACUUUAGUCUUACUUUGCCCCUUGUAACUCAAAACGUAUCACUUAACCCCAUGAAAGUUGUCUUUGCUUCUCACUUUGCCCCAUUCCAUUACCUCGGUAAAAAAUUCUAUUAAAUCACGUGACGUGGAAAAUGUGGAGCCCAUUAAUUGGCUGACGUGUUGGCUAUGUCAUUGCCACAUGUACAACUUUCAUAGUAUUUAAUAUUUUAAAUUUGAAAGAAAAAUAGAAACAAGUAAAACAAUAAGAAUAAUUACACCAUCAUUUUUCUGGGUAUUUGAUGUGGUUGGGUUGCAGCGGCGAUGUUGCUAGGGAUGGUUAUGCGGAGCAACGUAUGUGGUUAUGGUGAUGGAGUUACAAAAUUGAUAUGAAAUAAGCAAAUUUGAUGGUAGGAGUGGAGUUUGUGGGGUUUUGGUAGCGAUGGGGAGCAGGUGGCGAUGGUAGUGAAAGUUUUCUCUCAGUUUUAG